rnacentral:rRNA from 1 species
AUGCAUGUCUAAGUAUAAGCAAAUCUAUACUGUGAAACUGCGAAUGGCUCAUUAAAUCAGUUAUAGUUUAUUUGAUAGUACCUUUACCUGGAUAACCGUGGUAAUUCUAGAGCUAAUACAUGCUAAAAACCCCGACUUCGGGAGGGGUGUAUUUAUUAGAUAAAAAACCAAUGCCCUCCGGGGCUCCUUGGUGAUUCAUGAUAACUCAACGAAUCGCAUGGCCUUGCGCCGGCGAUGGUUCAUUCAAAUUUCUGCCCUAUCAACUUUCGAUGGUAGGAUAGUGGCCUACCAUGGUCCCAACGGGUAACGGGGAAUUAGGGUUCUAUUCCGGAGAGGGAGCCUGAGAAACGGCUACCACAUCCAAGGAAGGCAGCAGGCGCGCAAAUUACCCAAUCCCAAUACGGGGAGGUAGUGACAAUAAAUACUGAUACAGGGCUCUUUCGGGUCUUGUAAUUGGAAUGAGUACAAUCUAAAUCCCUU